GUUUUGCAUUAGGGAUAGCAGCGACAUCCUUUUUUGGGUUUUUUGCCCAAAAAAGAUAUAGCGAAUAGCCCGACCCUGA
rnacentral:sRNA from 1 species